UGGCGAACGGGUGAGUAACGCGUGAGGAACCUGCCUCAAAGAGGGGGACAACAGUUGGAAACGACUGCUAAUACCGCAUAAGCCCACGACCCGGCAUCGGGUAGGGGGAAAAGGAGCAAUCCGCUUUGAGAUGGCCUCGCGUCCGAUUAGCUAGUUGGUGAGGUAAUGGCCCACCAAGGCGACGAUCGGUAGCCGGACUGAGAGGUUGAACGGCCACAUUGGGACUGAGACACGGCCCAG
rnacentral:rRNA from 1 species